UAAGGUGAUCGUAUCCAAUACUAAUACAUCAGAUCCCAUCAAAACACUGCAGUUAAGCGUGUUUGGACAAGAGUAGUAAUAGUAUGGAUGACCUCCUUCUUCACACGAGACACAUCAC
rnacentral:rRNA from 1 species